GCGAAGAGAAGUCUCGCCUGUUAGGUGGUC
rnacentral:sRNA from 1 species